GUUUUCGGAUCGUAAAACUCUGUUGUUAGGGAAGAACAAGUACCGUUCGAAUAGGGCGGUACCUUGACGGUACCUGACCAGAAAGCCACGGCUAACUACGUGCCAGCAGCCGCGGUAAUACGUAGGUGGCAAGCGUUGUCCGGAAUUAUUGGGCGUAAAGCGCGCGCAGGCGGUUUCUUAAGUCUGAUGUGAAAGCCCCCGGCUCAACCGGGGAGGGUCAUUGGAAACUGGGGAACUUGAGUGCAGAAGAGGAGAGUGGAAUUCCACGUGUAGCGGUGAAAUGCGUAGAGAUGUGGAGGAACACCAGUGGCGAAGGCGACUCUCUGGUCUGUAACUGACGCUGAGGCGCGAAAGCGUGGGGAGCGAACAGGAUUAGAUACCCUGGUAGUCCACGCCGUAAACGAUGAGUGCUAAGUGUUAGAGGGUUUCCGCCCUUUAGUGCUGCAGCAAACGCAUUAAGCACUCCGCCUGGGGAGUACGGUCGCAAGACUGAAACUCAAAGGAAUUGACGGGGGCCCGCACAAGCGGUGGAGCAUGUGGUUUAAUUCGAAGCAACGCGAAGAACCUUACCAGGUCUUGACAUCCUCUGACAACCCUAGAGAUAGGGCUUCCCCUUCGGGGGCAGAGUGACAGGUGGUGCAUGGUUGUCGUCAGCUCGUGUCGUGAGAUGUUGGGUUAAGUCCCGCAACGAGCGCAACCCUUGAUCUUAGUUGCCAGCAUUCAGUUGGGCACUCUAAGGUGACUGCCGGUGACAAACCGGAGGAAGGUGGGGAUGACGUCAAAUCAUCAUGCCCCUUAUGACCUGGGCUACACACGUGCUACAAUGGGCAGAACAAAGGGCAGCGAAGCCGCGAGGCUAAGCCAAUCCCACAAAUCUGUUCUCAGUUCG
rnacentral:rRNA from 1 species